rnacentral:rRNA from 1 species
UACGGAGGGUGCAAGCGUUAAUCGGAAUUACUGGGCGUAAAGCGUGCGCAGGCGGUUCGUUGUGUCGGUGGUGAAAUCCCCGGGCUUAACCUGGGAAUGGCCAUGGAAACUGGCGAACUGGAGUGUGGCAGAGGGGGGUGGAAUUCCGCGUGUAGCAGUGAAAUGCGUAGAGAUGCGGAGGAACACCGAUGGCGAAGGCAGCCCCCUGGGCUAGCACUGACGCUCAGGCACGAAAGCGUGGGGAGCAAACAGG